rnacentral:rRNA from 1 species
AGAGCGAACGCUGGCGGCAGGCUUAACACAUGCAAGUCGAGCGGGCGUAGCAAUACGUCAGCGGCAGACGGGUGAGUAACGCGUGGGAACGUACCUUUUGGUUCGGAACAACCCAGGGAAACUUGGGCUAAUACCGGAUGAGCCCUUACGGGGAAAGAUUUAUCGCCGAAAGAUCGGCCCGCGUCUGAUUAGCUAGUUGGUGAGGUAAUGGCUCACCAAGGCGACGAUCAGUAGCUGGUCUGAGAGGAUGAUCAGCCACAUUGGGACUGAGACACGGCCCAAACUCCUACGGGAGGCAGCAGUGGGGAAUAUUGGACAAUGGGCGCAAGCCUGAUCCAGCCAUGCCGCGUGAGUGAUGAAGGCCCUAGGGUUGUAAAGCUCUUUGUGCGGGAAGAUAAUGACGGUACCGCAAGAAUAAGCCCCGGCUAACUUCGCGCCAGCAGCCGC